CAGAUAAAGAACAGACAUACUUUGGUGGAACACCAAUGGAGGAGGAGGGGAAGGAGGUGAUGGUGCUAUAGUAACAGAUGUGGAAGUAUCUAAGUGACCUGAACUGGGACUCUUGCUCCUGGAGGGUCACAAUCUUAGCAAUCUGAGCUCUAAUGGCGGCAAGUUCAUUCCGGAUCUUCUGCAAGGCUUCCUUACUGGCCUCACUUUGGAGGAGGCUCAUCUUGAAACAAAUUCAGGCUGACCAUAUUCCUUCUGGACGUCCACACUUCCCCCCAUUGCCCUUGGAAGACCAUGCAAGUCAUCUGUAGAUGAGCCUUCAUCCUGCUGGCCUGAGAUGGCACCAGGUCACCUUGUGUGAUGUUUUGAGAGUUUUAACUCUUUUUCUCCUAAUUAAAUUUGGUAAAAAAUCUAUUGAUAAUCUUUUCAUGCAGAUAAUGAAUAGUAUUCUCUGG
rnacentral:lncRNA from 14 species